rnacentral:lncRNA from 1 species
GGUAUUCCACUUAGUUCCUCUCCGUCAUAUGUAUAUAUUGUAUUUAAUAGUCCAUAGUUAUAACAUGUCCUUACUAAGUUGGCGUUAGUUUUCGGUUGUGCAAUCAGUUUAUUAUAGCCUUGUAAUUUUUGGGUUAAAUAAUCCUGGUUGGGUUCUUGGGUUGUAGUAGAUCUGGGUUUAAGGUUUAUAAAUGUUUGGAUUUUGCAUAUAUUUUCUAUAUAGGUUCGCGUAAUAUGGUUAUAUGUUCUUUUGUCAUGGUGUAGGCUAUCUGCGUAUGUAGAAGUUUGUGGUUCUAUCGUUAAUGUGUUUUUUGGUGUUAGCCUUGGGGUAAAUGGUUUUUCAAAUAUCUGGUUUAAGUUUGAGUUCUUAUGUUUUUAACUAACUCGUUGGCUUGUACCUGCAGCUGUAUUUAAACAAAUGUUAUGGG